CUGUGUGUUGUUGGGUAGGGGAGCGUUCUGUAAGCCUGCGAAGGUGGCCUGUGAGGGUUGCUGGAGGUAUCAGAAGUGCGAAUGCUGACAUAAGUAACGAUAAAGCGGGUGAAAAGCCCGCUCGCCGGAAGACCAAGGGUUCCUGUCCAACGUUAAUCGGGGCAGGGUGAGUCGACCCCUAAGGCGAGGCCGAAAGGCGUAGUCGAUGGGAAACGGGUUAAUAUUCCCGUACUUGGUGUUACUGCGAAGGGGGGACGGAGAAGGCUAUGUUGGCCGGGCGACGGUUGUCCCGGUUUAAGCGUGUAGGUGUGUGUUCCAGGUAAAUCCGGUUCACUUUAACACUGAGGCGUGACGACGAGGCACUACGGUGCUGAAGCAACAAAUGCCCUGCUUCCAGGAAAAGCCUCUAAGCAUCAGGUAACAUCAAAUCGUACCCCAAACCGACACAGGUGGUCAGGUAGAGAAUACCAAGGCGCUUGAGAGAACUCGGGUGAAGGAACUAGGCAAAAUGGUGCCGUAACUUCGGGAGAAGGCACGCUGACACGUAGGUGAAGUGAUUUACUCAUGGAGCUGAAGUCAGUCGAAGAUACCAGCUGGCUGCAACUGUUUAUUAAAAACACAGCACUGUGCAAACACGAAAGUGGACGUAUACGGUGUGACGCCUGCCCGGUGCCGGAAGGUUAAUUGAUGGGGUCAGCGCAAGCGAAGCUCCUGAUCGAAGCCCCGGUAAACGGCGGCCGUAACUAUAACGGUCCUAAGGUAGCGAAAUUCCUUGUCGGGUAAGUUCCGACCUGCACGAAUGGCGUAAUGAUGGCCAGGCUGUCUCCACCCGAGACUCAGUGAAAUUGAACUCGCUGUGAAGAUGCAGUGUACCCGCGGCAAGACGGAAAGACCCCGUGAACCUUUACUAUAGCUUGACACUGAACAUUGAGCCUUGAUGUGUAGGAUAGGUGGGAGGCUUUGAAGUGUGGACGCCAGUCUGCAUGGAGCCGACCUUGAAAUACCACCCUUUAAUGUUUGAUGUUCUAACGUGGACCCGUUACCCGGGUUGCGGACAGUGUCUGGUGGGUAGUUUGACUGGGGCGGUCUCCUCCUAAAGAGUAACGGAGGAGCACGAAGGUUGGCUAAUCCUGGUCGGACAUCAGGAGGUUAGUGCAAUGGCAUAAGCCAGCUUGACUGCGAGCGUGACGGCGCGAGCAGGUGCGAAAGCAGGUCAUAGUGAUCCGGUGGUUCUGAAUGGAAGGGCCAUCGCUCAACGGAUAAAAGGUACUCCGGGGAUAACAGGCUGAUACCGCCCAAGAGUUCAUAUCGACGGCGGUGUUUGGCACCUCGAUGUCGGCUCAUCACAUCCUGGGGCUGAAGUAGGUCCCAAGGGUAUGGCUGUUCGCCAUUUAAAGUGGUACGCGAGCUGGGUUUAGAACGUCGUGAGACAGUUCGGUCCCUAUCUGCCGUGGGCGCUGGAGAACUGAGGGGGGCUGCUCCUAGUACGAGAGGACCGGAGUGGACGCAUCACUGGUGUUCGGGUUGUCAUGCCAAUGGCACUGCCCGGUAGCUAAAUGCGGAAGAGAUAAGUGCUGAAAGCAUCUAAGCACGAAACUUGCCCCGAGAUGAGUUCUCCCUGAGACUUAAAGUCUCCUGAAGGAACGUUGAAGACGACGACGUUGAUAGGCCGGGUGUGUAAGCGCAGCGAUGCGUUGAGCUAACCGGUACUAAUGAACCGUGAGGCUUAACCUUACAACGCCGAAG
rnacentral:rRNA from 1 species